rnacentral:lncRNA from 1 species
AUAUAUAUAUUUUCUUGACAACAAAACAAAAACCGAAAGUAUCCCUCAACAUCACUACAACUUAACUAAAACUUAACAGAGAAACAUCAUUCCUACAACUGAACUAAAAUUGAAAGCAUCCAUCAUCAUCAUCAUCAUCAUCAUCAUCAUCAUCAUCAUCAGUAUAUUUGCCACGCGCCCAUAUAAUCAUCCAUUUAUCUUUUGAACCUACAAACAAAAAACAAAAUGAACUGUUAACACACAAUGCAUUAACAAAAAACAAAAAACUGAAUGACUUUUUGUGGUAAUGUAAGUGUAAUUAGAGAAUGUGUAAUACAUUUUGAACAUCUCACAGCGGGUUGUUUUAUGUCAUGGAUUCAGAUGAAAAAAAAGGUGGCCACUAUUGGACGAUAAAACUGGAAACUCAAACUAAAAUAUUCCAAGGAAUAUUUAGAAGGGACCAUGUAUCUAUGUUUCUGCAGAAAGAGGCGUUCUGGCUCCUAUAUAUGGGAUGAACACUUAAAAGGAGGACAUUUAUUUUGUUUUGGUGAUAUACAGAAAAUCCAUUGAAAUAUUCCAACGGGUCAUUUAUGUUGAAGAGUUUCCAAAGAAACCCAUUGUAAGACUUAACAAAUGCAUAUGUAUGCAUAUCAAAUAUAUGGUAUACAUACUCAUCUAGAAGAUAUAUUUUUCGUGCAUGAUACAUACAUGUAGCUUAAUUUUUUUCCUUUUAAAUAGUACAUCAAAUCAUGGAUUAAUUAAUAGAUUUAUUUGGCUCGUACUGAUUUGAGAUGGUUUUGCUCUCUUUCGUAUAGGAUCAGAACAAAAACAUAGAUUGAGAGCUCAAAAAAAUAUAGAUCAUAUACUACACAUACCAAUAUCACAAAAUGUGUGGCUGUGAUAUACGUAUUGUAAGCAUCAUUAAUCCUCUUUUAGUUUAGCCCCACUGCAACUAAUCAUAUGAUCCAUGCUCUCCAAACUUAUAUGAGCUCAUCAUCCAUGCAUCAUGCGAAAAGGUGUAAAGUAGUAAUAAGAAAUUAUCCUAGAAAUCAAACCUCUAGUCCAGUACAUGCAUGUAUAAAAUAGAACAGUAUGAAGCCAAUACCUACACACCUGGAGGAACGGGAUUGCCAAAGCGUGGAUCAGAAGUUCAUUCAGCCAUUAUACGUCCUCGGUGGGAUCUCAACUUGAUUAUCCUAUUCAUCGCCUAGGCUUUCGUCAGGUAAUCUGUAUUGACGUGCUCAGUGAGCUUCCUUUUUUUGUUACCGACCUUUUCCUAUUAUGUGAAAAGGAAAAAUUGUGGCAAACAGGUUACACACUUUCAACAUGAAUCAGAAGCAUACAACAUGAGUCUUCCCUUCAGUAUAUUUUCCAUUAUAUGAGAAUGGAAAUACAUGUAUGCAAGGUCAUAUUUUGUGCUUAACGAAAUAAUUGGAGACUCAACUUAUCUACUCACAAUGCAUGCCUAGUAACUGCACGUGUAUGUAUAACAUAUAUAUGAACUAUAACAAACAUACAGUUUAGUAUCAUGGAUUCAGUCAGCGAAUUACAAAAACCAGAUCUUAAUUUCAUAACAGCUCUUCCUAAGCAAGUUCUAGCACCAUACACCAGAUGCAUGAAAUUUUAAAAAUGAAUACAAAUAUGUUCUUAAUUAUUUAGUACAUCAAUUUAACAAAAGAACGACAUUAAAACAAACCAAGCAGACAAAAAUAUACGAGGAAAGAGGUUAACUUAGAAUCAUUUUUUGACCUCGCGUGUAGUUUCAAAUAAAUACUGUUACGGUGCCACUGCCACCUUGACCUCCUGAUGCAUAUACCUUCAAGUCUGCAACAACACUAUCAAAGAUAUUCCAUCUGAACAGAGUAGUUUGUGCUUUUAAGAUGUGGAUCACUGGGUGAGGAUAAAAUUGAAAGAACAUAUCAAGUAAACAAACCCAUACCUUUUGCAUGUAAGGAACAUAGCGAAGUAGACUGAACAAAUCGUGUAAUGAUCCGAAACGACUUAUCCACUUUCCAACAAUAUUAGAAGUGGUGCUUGAGUUCGCUGUGCAGAGGUACGACCACGCCUUCGCUGAAUUGAAUCACCUAGUUGCUUGUGUAGCACCUACUAAUUUAGCCAUCCAAGUAAUGUGUAUCUUCAGAUGUCUGAAACUAAAGAAAACACAUUAUCAAUAUUCCCCAAAACAAAUCUCUAGGCUGUACGUCCCAGAUUUCAGUAGUACAACACAACAUAAAAAUCCUCAAAAGCAAAAAACCUACUCUCUUCUUGCUCCUUCCAUUACCUGCGACCAGCCUGCAAUAGUUCCUCUUCUCCACAACUUCAUCAACAAUAGAGGCUGUCCAAUUAGAUACAAACUUUCUUUGAUGUACCGCCUUGUCCACUGCAUUGGAUUUCAGUUUUCGUUGGGCAUAGAAUGCGAGAUUGGAAGGAUGUUCUGGUGCAGUGGAUAUUAAAAGGUUCCAGAGCAGGGAUCAGGGAGAGGAUUCCUAUUCGCAAAAAAAAGAGGCUUCCUAGAUCGUUUUACACGGAGGACACGUGAAUAGUGGAAAACAAUUAGGACGAGCACCGGAGGAGGACGAACGGGGCUACAGAUGUGGAUAAUGCAUUGGUACCACGAGGGGCUACGGAUGUGGAACGAGGGAUGUGGUUGCCUGUGCUUGUUCAUGGCCGUACCUUGGAUUCACCGUUGGUCGCAGGGGAGCGGUGACGAGGGGUGGCGCACCGGGAUGCAGGGUUGCAGGGGUGGUGACGAGGGGUGGCGCGCUAGGACGGAGGGUCACAGGGCAGCAGUGAGGAGCGGCGCCGGGAGAGAGGAUCGCAGGCGAGUGGUGAGGGGCGGCAUGCAGGGAUGCAGGUAGGUCGCAGCCGCGCAAAGGAGUGGCAACGACUGACGAGCGGCGGCGGCCGAGGUGGGAGGGCUCGAGAGGAGUAGGGGAGGCGGAGGAAAGGGAACGACCUAGG